AUGCGGUGGGAGCCCCCCCGAGGGAGAAAAAAAAAAAAAAAAAAAAAGACACCUGGGGAAACACCGGUACAGCGGCUAGGCCAGGGCUGCCGAGGGAGCCGGCUCUGCGGGCGGGCUGGUCGCCGCCCGCCCCCUCAUCACCCCCGCGGAGGGCGGCGGGGUGUCGUGCCCGCGAGGGGCGGCCGUUACCCGCCCGCGGGCGCCGGGCCCGCCCUCACCUGCUCCCGGGCAGAUCCCGCCGGCGGGGGACGUGGCGCUUUCACCUGCCCGGGGCCGCGGAUCCGCGGGGCGGAGCAGCCGCGCUGGGCGAGGAGGAGACAUGGCGGAGGCCGCGGGCAGGAGCGGCGGGUGCCGGCGCCCCGCAGGCUGGAAAUGCUGAUUUUUGAGUUUUCACACAUGGAAAAGAAUGUUCCAACACAUGCCUGUAAUUGAGGGUGUAUGCACUCCUAAUGCAAAAGGUAUGCACUGCAUAGGAAGGUGAUUAAGUUAAGGGGGGGGGGGGGGAGACAUGACACCCAACAUGCGUGCGUAUAUGGAAGAAGACUCGCCCUCAUUGUUUGAGUUUAGAUUAGGCUAAAAUUUCUAAACGUGAAUAAACAGAGCGGCUGGCAAAAUGCAGGUUGGUGCCUGGAGCCUUCCAGGCUUCUUUUCCCUUGGUGCUCAUCUGCUUGUGCAAGCAGAGGUCCGUCCUCCUGCCGCCCUGCGUGGAGGAAGGAGCAGUCAGUCCCUGCUGCCGAGGUGCUUCUAGCUCUCCGCGAGCGGGUGGGAGACAGCGUUCCUGAGGCUGGCUUGCUGCAGCUGAGGAGACAACACUCAUAGACCCCCUUUGAUUAGGAUGUGUCAGUGUUGUCAGGGCAACUGUUAACAGCAGCGUAUCAUAUUUUCUCCUUGUGUUGCGUGCUGAAUAUUUUAGCAUGCUGUAGCUGGAAGAGGGUUGCAGGGAAAAGGGUGCUGCGGCAAGGAACCUGGAGCUGUGGGCUGGGAUCCGAUUGAACAGGUUAAGACAGCGAAGAGCGGCAUCCAAACCAAUGUGCCUUUAAUUAGGGCUUUUCUUGAAGCUGGGGAAAGACUGCAAGCCUUUUGCUUCCAACUGGAUGUUGGUAUUUGUCAGCUGUUUGCAUACUGCUUAUCCGUAGGGGAUCUAUUACAAGUGCUCAAAUGAACAGGCAGUGUUGCAGCUAGCAGCUAAGCAGGGGCUGCAGUUUCUUACUUUUUUUUUUUUUGACAAGCAAGAGGCAACAGCAACAUGCCUGGUUCAAUUACUGCCCUCCGACAAGAGAGAUUGAAGAAAAGUGCCAGGCUAAAUCCCCUGGGUUUAUUCACCAUUAACGAAGAGGAUGAGCAGCAAAAGAAUGGGAAUUCCAAAAGACCAAAAGGUAUGUUGCGGUUCUGCAGCGCGAUCAGGGCUGUGUGUGAAGUACGCUGCACAGGAGGCACAACGUUUUAUUAGCUCUUCUGUGUGCUAUAGAGUCUGUAAGUGACUGGUGCAGUUUGG
rnacentral:lncRNA from 1 species